UACAGAGGUCCCAAGCGUUGUUCGGAUUCACUGGGCGUAAAGGGUGCGUAGGCGGUUUGACAAGUCUGAUGUGAAAUCUCGGAGCUCAACUCCGAAACUGCAUUGGAUACUGUCGGGCUAGAGGAUUGGAGGGGGGACUGGAAUUCUCGGUGUAGCAGUGAAAUGCGUAGAGAUCGAGAGGAACACUGGUGGCGAAGGCGAGUCCCUGGACAAUACCUGACGCUGAGGCACGAAAGCUAGGGGAGCAAACAGG
rnacentral:rRNA from 1 species